AAUCAUUUAACUAUAUUUUAAGUGUAUAUUUUGAAAAUAUAUAAAAGGUUAACCUAAUGAUUU
rnacentral:tRNA from 1 species